rnacentral:rRNA from 1 species
UACGUAGGGUGCGAGCGUUGUCCGGAAUUAUUGGGCGUAAAGAGCUCGUAGGCGGCUCGUUGCGUCGGCUGUGAAAACCCGCAGCUCAACUGUGGGCUUGCAGCCGAUACGGGCGGGCUGGGAUUCGGUAGGGGAGACUGGAAUUCCUGGUGUAGCGGUGAAAUGCGCAGAUAUCAGGAGGAACACCGGUGGCGAAGGCGGUUCUCUGGGCCUGUACUGACGCUGAGGAGCGAAAGCGUGGGGAGCGAACAGG